AGCAGCCGCGGUAAUUCCAGCUCCAAUAGCGUAUAUUAAAGUUGUUGCAGUUAAAAAGCUCGUAGUUGAAUUUCGGGAUCAAAUUGUCGGUCGUGCCUCGGUACGCACUGGCGUUAUUGGUUCCUCCCUUCUGAAGAACCGCGAUGUCAUUAAUUUGGUGUCGCGGGGAAUCAGGACUGUUACUUUGAAAAAAUUGAGUGUUUAAAGCAGGCUCGCGCUUGAAUACAUUAGCAUGGAAUAAUGAAGUAGGACGUUUGAUUCUAUUUUGUGGUUUCUAGGGUCGACGUAAUGGUUAAUAGGGAUAGUUGGGGGCAUUAGUAUUCAAUUGUCAGAGGUGAAAUUCUUGGAUUUAUUGAAGACUAACUACUGCGAAAGCAUUUGCCAAGGAUGUUUUCAUUAAUCAAGAACGAAAGUUAGGGGAUCGAAGACGAUCAGAUACCGUCGUAGUCUUAACCAUAAACUAUGCCGACUAGGGAUCGGAUGGAUGUUAAUUUUUAAUGACUCAUUCGGCGCCUUACGG
rnacentral:rRNA from 1 species